CGAGUCCUACGGGGCGCAGCAGUGAGGAAUAUUGGUCAAUGGGCGCGAGCCUGAACCAGCCAAGUAGCGUGAAGGAUGACUGCCCUACGGGUUGUAAACUUCUUUUAUAAAGGAAUAAAGUGAGGCACGUGUGCCUUUUUGUAUGUACUUUAUGAAUAAGGAUCGGCUAACUCCGUGCCAGCAGCCGCGGUAAUACGGAGGAUCCGAGCGUUAUCCGGAUUUAUUGGGAUUAAAGGUAGCGUAGCUGGGUUGUUAAGUCAGUUGU
rnacentral:rRNA from 1 species